GGCUACACACGUGCUACAAUGGCGCAUACAGAGGGCAGCCAACUUGCGAAAGUGAGCGAAUCCCAAAAAGUGCGUCGUAGUCCGGAUUGGAGUCUGCAACUCGACUCCAUGAAGUCGGAAUCGCUAGUAAUCGUGGAUCAGAAUGCCACGGUGAAUACGUUCCCGGGCCUUGUACACACCGCCCGUCACACCAUGGGAGUGGGCUGCAAAAGAAGUAGGUAGUUUAACCUUCGGGGGGACGCUUACCACUUUGUGGUUCAUGACUGGGGUGAAGUCGUAACAAGGUAGCGCUAGGGGAACCUGGCGCUGGAUCACCUCCUUAAACGAUGAU
rnacentral:rRNA from 1 species